GUGUCAGCCGCCGCGGUAAUACGUAGGCAGCGAGCGUUGUUCGGAGUUACUGGGCGUAAAGGGUGUGUAGGCGGUUUGCCAAGUUCGGUGUGAAAUCUCCCGGCUUAACUGGGAGGGUGCGCCGAAUACUGGCAGGCUCGAGUGCGGGAUGGGAGAGCGGAAUUCCUGGUGUAGCGGUGAAAUGCGUAGAGAUCAGGAGGAACACCUGCGGUGUAGACGGCUCUCUGGACCGCCACUGACGCUGAGACACGAAAGCGUGGGUAGCAAACAGGAUUAGAUACCCCCGUAGUCC
rnacentral:rRNA from 1 species